UACAGAGGAUCCAAGCGUUAUCCGGAUUUAUUGGGCUUAAAGGGUGCGUAGGCGGCUUAUUAAGUCAGGGGUGAAAGACGGUGGCUUAACUAUCGCAGUGCCUUUGAUACUGAUGGGCUUGAAUGUACUUGAGGUAGGCGGAAUGUGACAAGUAGCGGUGAAAUGCAUAGAUAUGUCACAGAACACCAAUUGCGAAGGCAGCUUACUAAAGUAUGAUUGACGCUGAGGCACGAAAGCGUGGGGAUCAAACAGG
rnacentral:rRNA from 1 species